rnacentral:rRNA from 1 species
CCUACGGGUGGCAGCAGUGGGGAAUAUUGCACAAUGGGCGCAAGCCUGAUGCAGCCAUGUCGCGUGUGUGAAGAAGGCCUUCGGGUUGUAAAGCACUUUCAGCGGGGAGGAAGGCGGUGAGGUUAAUAACCUCAUCGAUUGACGUUACCCGCAGAAGAAGCACCGGCUAACUCCGUGCCAGCAGCCGCGGUAAUACGGAGGGUGCAAGCGUUAAUCGGAAUUACUGGGCGUAAAGCGCACGCAGGCGGUCUGUCAAGUCGGAUGUGAAAUCCCCGGGCUCAACCUGGGAACUGCAUUCGAAACUGGCAGGCUAGAGUCUUGUAGAGGGGGGUAGAAUUCCAGGUGUAGCGGUGAAAUGCGUAGAGAUCUGGAGGAAUACCGGUGGCGAAGGCGGCCCCCUGGACAAAGACUGACGCUCAGGUGCGAAAGCGUGGGGAGCAAACAGGAUUAGAUACCCCGGUAGUC